GACGAACGCUGGCGGCGUGCCUAACACAUGCAAGUAGAACGCUGAAGGAAGGAGCUUGCUCUUUCUGGAUGAGUUGCGAACGGGUGAGUAACGCGUAGGUAACCUGCCUGGUAGCGGGGGAUAACUAUUGGAAACGAUAGCUAAUACCGCAUAAAAUUGAUUAUUGCAUGAUAGUCAAUUAAAAGGUGCAACUGCACCACUACCAGAUGGACCUGCGUUGUAUUAGCUAGUUGGUGGGGUAACGGCUCACCAAGGCGACGAUACAUAGCCGACCUGAGAGGGUGAUCGGCCACACUGGGACUGAGACACGGCCCAGACGCCUACGGGAGGCAGCAGUAGGGAAUCUUCGGCAAUGGACGGAAGUCUGACCGAGCAACGCCGCGUGAGUGAAGAAGGUUUUCGGAUCGUAAAGCUCUGUUGUAAGAGAAGAACGAGUGUGAGAGUGGAAAGUUCACACUGUGACGGUAUCUUACCAGAAAGGGACGGCUAACUACGUG
rnacentral:rRNA from 1 species